GAAAGAAUAGUAGGGCAAUUCUCCUUUGGCAAAGAAGAAGUAUGCAUUUGCAUGGCCACCUUGCCAAUAGAGAACAGCCCUGUUACUCCUUU
rnacentral:miRNA from 1 species